UGCGUAGGUGGUGAGGUAAGUCGGAUGUGAAAGCUCGGAGCUCAACUCCGAAAUGGCAUUGGAAACUACCUUGCUCGAGGGUUGGAGGGGGGACUGGAAUGCUUGGUGUAGCAGUGAAAUGCGUAGAUAUCAAGCGGAACACCAGUUGGCGAAGGCGAGUCCCUGGACAACUCCUGACACUGAGGCACGAAAGCUAGGGGAGCAAACA
rnacentral:rRNA from 1 species